CCUAGCUAGUGAUUUCAUAAGAGAUAAGGCAUCUGCCCUGCUUAUGGAUGAUCUAGCUUUG
rnacentral:misc_RNA from 1 species